UUGCAACUAGCUUACACUCAUUUUACUUAAAAGUAUGAAGGCUAUAUUUUUUAUUUAUUUUCUUCUUCAUUUUUUUCUGAUGUCAGAUUUGCCAUUUUGUUUCCCAUGUCCCUUUACUCUAUGGGUCUUGUUUUAGGUCUUCUGCUCACGGUGCUUCUUGGAAUAAGGAAAGUUCUCUCUAGACCAGAGUUCUGCCCAAGAAUCGGGGACAGAAUGAGCAAGUAUGAUCUGGAGAAGCUAUCAGUUUCCACUUUGGUAUAUUAUCUCGGAAAGCUGUUGAAGCAAAUCAGCCACAUUUUUUCUAUUUGAGUAUUUGGUUCUGCUAAGCUUUCAGCAUCCCCUUUGGAUCAUCUUGGUUCACAGCAAGCCCAUAUCUCACACAUCCUCUGUUUCAUGAUUGGCAGUUGUUGUUUCUCUCUUCAAAUGACUGUGAUAAGCAGACUCACAGGAUCCAUAAAACCUUUCAAGACAGAGAGAAGAUUAGACUAGCUUUAGGCAUGCUGUCAUGGAGAAGAUGGUGGUUCUUCCCUUCUUUUUCUUCAUAUUGAUGGACACUUUCAUAAAGAGAAGCAAGGUGAUGACUCCAUGGAUCUGCGAGGGCCUGGGAUCUGCAUCUCUAGCAAUCUCCCAGGUGAUGCCAAUGCUGCCGGGGAGGACAGCUGGAGAAACAAGAGGCUUUCUAGGACACCACAUGCAGGAGGGUUGGGAGAGCUGCAGAAGUAGCUAAAACAGAAAACAGCAGAGUCUCAUCACAGCAGGGCUGGAGCAAGAGCUGGCUGGAAGAAUGGACUUUGCAGGGGGAUGGAAAAAAGCCUUAAUGAAUCUUACUCUCUGACUGAAAUUUGGAGAUUAAAUUCAAACCUUUCAACCUCAUCACAAUUAUCUCCCGAAUUUGCCCAUAACAGCCUGGUAUAGAGCAAUGUCUUCCUCCCAUUCCCACCAUCUUUAACUAGAAUGCAACAGUUCUAGGGACUCUCUUUCUAGAACAGUUGUUCUAAGUGUUGUUGCUGAGCCAGUAACAUCUGCAGCACCUGGGAAGAUGCUAAAAAUGCAAAUUCUUGGGCUCCCUCAGAUCCACUGAAUCAGAGACUUAGGAGGGUGGGGCCCAGCAGGCUGUGUUUUAACAAACCCUCUGCAUGAUUCUAAUGCAUGCUGUAGAAUCACCAGUUACAUAUUUAUUUGAACAGAGACUUUUGGCAGAUAGAGACUUCACCAUGGAGCUAAGUAACUCUCAGCAUGCGGAGAAUUAAUGUUUUAACCUUAGCACCAGCGCUAAGGAGAUCCAUAAUGAAGUGAAACAUCUUGGGGACUGACCCAGGGAGUAGAAUAAUUCUAGAAAAAAAAAAAGGUUGAUAUGAGAUGUAGAUGUUAUACAGAAUUGUGGAUCAAAAUUAAAUGAUAAAAAAUCAACAGAAAAAGAAGAAGGAAAAGGGAGAGGAAGAAGAAGAGGAGAGCCAUUUUUAAUACCCUAGAAAUUUCACUUAUAAUGAAAUUGGGUUGGCAACUACCUCUGGCUCCAAGUGGAACAUACAGAAAAAGAAGAUCUGUUAUUUGAAGAGGCUUGUACCUAGAUUUCAGUUAAGCAAAUAGCUACAAAC
rnacentral:lncRNA from 1 species